rnacentral:rRNA from 1 species
GAACGCUGGUGGCGUGCUUAACACAUGCAAGUCGAACGGUGAAGCCAAGCUUGCUUGGUGGAUCAGUGGCGAACGGGUGAGUAACACGUGAGCAACCUGCCCUGGACUCUGGGAUAAGCGCUGGAAACGGCGUCUAAUACUGGAUAUGAGACGUGAUCGCAUGGUCAACGUUUGGAAAGAUUUUUCGGUCUGGGAUGGGCUCGCGGCCUAUCAGCUUGUUGGUGAGGUAAUGGCUCACCAAGGCGUCGACGGGUAGCCGGCCUGAGAGGGUGACCGGCCACACUGGGACUGAGACACGGCCCAGACUCCUACGGGAGGCAGCAGUGGGGAAUAUUGCACAAUGGGCGGAAGCCUGAUGCAGCAACGCCGCGUGAGGGAUGACGGCCUUCGGGUUGUAAACCUCUUUUAGCAGGGAAGAAGCGAAAGUGACGUUACCUGCAGAAAAAGCGCCGGCUAACUACGUGCCAGCAGCCGCGGUAAUACGUAGGGCGCAAGCGUUAUCCGGAAUUAUUGGGCGUAAAGAGCUCGUAGGCGGUUUGUCGCGUCUGCUGUGAAAUCCCGAGGCUCAACCUCGGGCCUGCAGUGGGUACGGGCAGACUAGAGUGCGGUAGGGGAGAUUGGAAUUCCUGGUGUAGCGGUGGAAUGCGCAGAUAUCAGGAGGAACACCGAUGGCGAAGGCAGAUCUCUGGGCCGUAACUGACGCUGAGGAGCGAAAGGGUGGGGAGCAAACAGGCUUANAUACCCUGGUAGUCCACCCCGUAAACGUUGGGAACUAGUUGUGGGGACCAUUCCACGGUUUCCGUGACGCAGCUAACGCAUUAAGUUCCCCGCCUGGGGAGUACGGCCGCAAGGCUAAAACUCAAAGGAAUUGACGGGGACCCGCACAAGCGGCGGAGCAUGCGGAUUAAUUCGAUGCAACGCGAAGAACCUUACCAAGGCUUGACAUACACCAGAACGGGCCAGAAAUGGUCAACUCUUUGGACACUGGUGAACAGGUGGUGCAUGGUUGUCGUCAGCUCGUGUCGUGAGAUGUUGGGUUAAGUCCCGCAACGAGCGCAACCCUCGUUCUAUGUUGCCAGCACGUAAUGGUG